rnacentral:tRNA from 1 species
UGGAAGAUUACUCAAGAGGCUUAAGAGGCCGUGUUGGAAACAGAACGUAAACAACUUAGCGUGCGUGGGUUCGAAUCCCAUGUCUUCCGUC